rnacentral:rRNA from 1 species
GAUGAACGCUGGCGGCGUGCCUAAUACAUGCAAAUCGAGCGAACGGACGAGAAGCUUGCUUCUCUGAUGUUAGCGGCGGACGGGUGAGUAACACGUGGAUAACCUACCUAUAAGACUGGGAUAACUUCGGGAAACCGUAGCUAAUACCGGAUAAUAUUUUGAACCGCAUGGUUCAAAAGUGAAAGACGGUCUUGCUGUCACUUAUAGAUGGAUCCGCGCUGCAUUAGCUAGUUGGUAAGGUAACGGCUUACCAAGGCAACGAUGCAUAGCCGACCUGAGAGGGUGAUCGGCCACACUGGAACUGAGACACGGUCCAGACUCCUACGGGAGGCAGCAGUAGGGAAUCUUCCGCAAUGGGCGAAAGCCUGACGGAGCAACGCCGCGUGAGUGAUGAAGGUCUUCGGAUCGUAAAACUCUGUUAUUAGGGAAGAACGUAUGUGUAAGUAACUGUGCACAUCUUGACGGUACCUAAUCAGAAAGCCACGGCUAACUACGUG